rnacentral:misc_RNA from 1 species
CUUGACGGUCACCAGAGCCCUUGGAUGGACUGGUCAAGUAUAUUUGCAUUUUAAUCUUCAGUUUUAGUCUUAAUCCUUAUCCGAUAUUUCUCAUACAAGUAUCCCCACUUUAUUAUUUGAUUAUUAAUGUAUAUCCUAGCUCCAGGAGCCAAUAAAUGUUAACUUUUGGUAAAAAGAGACUUACAGGCUUUUAAUGAUCAAUCUUUUUUGUAAUCUUUUAUUAAAAUCAAUGUCAUAUUUUUACACAUCAAUAAAAAGUAUCAACAAGAUAACUAUUCACAAACCUUACAAAUAAUCACAAAUAUCUUGAUAAAUAUUUUUCUUAUAUAAUCAAUCUUUCUUAAAACAGUGUUUUGAACAUUCAAUUUACCUUUCAAUACAUAAAGAAUUUUUUUCUUUGACAUUGUUUCAUCAUGAAAUCUUCAUUUCAUUUUAUAUUUGUAUAUUGUAUAUGCAACACAAGCCUUUAAAUUGUUUAAAACCAAUGUUUUUUCCUUGACUUCAUCGUAAAAUCCAAGUACAAUAAUUUUCCAAGUAACAGUAAACUUAAGAAAGGAACCAAUUUUUUCCAAAUAGGUUUGACACUCUCACAAUCAUAUGAUAAAUGUUUAAUGUCUUCUUCAAUGUUACAAAAGGUGCAAAAUGGUGAUACAUCUUUAUUCCAUUUACUCACAUAUACAUUAUUAUUCAAUAUAUCAUUUAACAGUUUGUAAUUAAACUCUGCUAUUCUGUUCUCAUACAUAUUCUUUAUUUUGGACACAUAUACAUGUACAUUUUUCCAUAUAUACCCUUCCUUAAAGUUGAAUAUUUUCUUGGACCGAUUUUUGAAAUUUAUUAUCAAUGAAUAUUGAGUAGUGAAAAUUGCUUUUUGUAGAUCUUAUAGAUUUUGUAACAUGGUUUUUAAAAUGUACAUCAUUUUUUAUAUUUACGUACUUUGCAUAUGAACAAUCAAAUUUUUGUCUAAAAUGUUUGACAGCUCUUUUUAACAUAACAUAUUCACAAAUUAUAUUGUUCUUUUCAACUAAUUUGUUUGAAAAAUAUGUUUUAUUAUACAUUUCCCCAGUUUCAUCAAAAAUAUCUUUCACAUAUAGUAUGCCACCCUUAAGCCAGUUAUAAAAACAUAUUGGCUUUGAAUCGUAUUGCAAAAAGUUUGUUAUUCCAUAAAAAUUGGCUUAAAAACUCAUCUCUUGUUACACUACCAAUCGAUGUUUGUAUUUUACAACUAUUAAAGGCAUUGAAUACGUUUCGA